GCCCGGGCUUCCCAGUGUUCAGACUACCUGUUCAGGAGCCUGCCACGUUGUACAGUAGUCUGCACAUUGGUUAUCCCGCUCC
rnacentral:pre_miRNA from 1 species